rnacentral:rRNA from 1 species
GAUGAACGCUGGCGGCGUGCCUAAUACAUGCAAGUCGAGCGAACAGACGAGGAGCUUGCUCCUCUGACGUUAGCGGCGGACGGGUGAGUAACGCGUGGAUAACCUACCUAUAAGACUGGGAUAACUUCGGGAAACCGGAGCUAAUACCGGAUAAUAUAUUGAACCGCAUGGUUCAAUAGUGAAAGACGGUUUUGCUGUCACUUAUAGAUGGAUCCGCGCCGCAUUAGCUAGUUGGUAAGGUAACGGCUUACCAAGGCGACGAUGCGUAGCCGACCUGAGAGGGUGAUCGGCCACACUGGAACUGAGACACGGUCCAGACUCCUACGGGAGGCAGCAGUAGGGAAUCUUCCGCAAUGGGCGAAAGCUUGACGGAGCAACGCCGCGUGAGUGAUGAAGGUCUUCGGAUCGUAAAACUCUGUUAUUAGGGAAGAACAAAUGUGUAAGUAACUAUGCACGUCUUGACGGUACCUAAUCAGAAAGCCACGGCUAACUACGUG